GAUGAAGAACGUAGCGAAAUGCGAUAAGUAAUGCGAAUUGCAGAAUUCAGUGAAUCAUCGAAUCUUUGAACGCACAUUGCGCCCCCUGGUAUUCCGGGGGGCAUGCCUGUCCGAGCGUCAUUACAACCCUCAAGCUCAGCUUGGUGUUGGGCCCCGCCGCCCCGGCGGGCCCUAAAGUCAGUGGCGGUGCCGUCCGGCUCCGAGCGUAGUAAUUCUUCUCGCUCUGGAGGUCCGGUCGUGUGCUCGCCAGCAACCCCCAAUUUUUUUCAGGUUGACCUCGGAUCAGGUAGGGAUACCCGCUGAACUUAAGCAUAUCAAAAGCGGAGGA
rnacentral:misc_RNA from 1 species